rnacentral:rRNA from 1 species
UGAUGACGAGACGCUAAGGCGUUGAAGCAGUGUAUGUCAGACUUCCAAGAAAAGCUCGCAAUGUCACAAAUAAGAAAUGCCUGUACCAUAACCGACACAGGUGGGUAGGUAGAGUAUACUAAGGGGCGCGAGAUAACUCUCUAAGGAACUCGGCAAAAUGACUCUGUAACUUCGGGAGAAGGAGUGCCUUAUUUAUAAGGUUGCAAUAACAAGAUCCAAGCAACUGUUUAUCAAAAACACAGGUCUCCGCUAAGUCGUAAGACGAUGUAUGGGGGCUGACGCCUGCCCAGUGCCAGAAGGUUAAAGAAGUUGGUUAGUGUAUGCGAAGCUGAUGACUGAAGCCCUGGUGAACGGCGGCCGUAACAAUAACGGUCCUAAGGUAGCGAAAUUCCUUGUCGGGUAAGUUCCGACCCGCACGAAAGGCGUAAUGAUUUGGAUACUGUCUCGGAGAGAGGCUCGGUGAAAUAGACUUGUCUGUGAAGAUGCGGACUACCUGCACCAGGACAGAAAGACCCUAUGAAGCUUUACUGUAACUUGAAAUUGGAAUUGGACUUUGCUUGCGCAGUAUAGGUGGGAAGCGUUGAAAAUAUUCUUGCGGGAGUAUUGGAGCUAUCAGUGAGAUACCACUCUUGUAAUGUUAGAUUUCUAACUUUGAACCAUAAUCUGGUCAAAGAACAGUUUCAGGUGGGCAGUUUGACUGGGGCGGUCGCCUCCCAAAUGGUAACGGAGGCGUACAAAGGUUUCCUCUGAACGGAUAGAAAUCGUAUCUAGAGUGUAAAGGCAUAAGGAAGCUUGACUGUGAGACCUACAAGUCGAGCAGGGACGAAAGUCGGUCUUAGUGAUCUGACGGUACUGAGUGGAAAGGCCGUCACUCAACGGAUAAAAGUUACUCUAAGGAUAACAGGCUGAUCUCCCCCAAGAGUCCACAUCGACGGGGAGGUUUGGCACCUCGAUGUCGGCUCAUCGCAUCCUGGGGCGGUAGUACGUCCCAAGGGUUGGGCUGUUCGCCCAUGAAAGCGGUACGCGAGCUGGGUUCAGAACGUCGUGAGACAGUUCGGUCCAUAUCCGGUGUAGGCGCUAGAAUAUUGAGAGGAGCCUUCUUUAGUACGAGAGGACCGAGAAGGACACACCGCUGGUGUACCAGUUAUCGUGCCAACGGUAAACGCUGGGUAGCUAUGUGUGGAGUGGAUAACCGCUGAAAGCAUCUAAGUGGGAAGCCCACCUCGAGAUGAGUAUUC